rnacentral:rRNA from 1 species
GAUGAACGCUGGCGGUAUGCUUAACACAUGCAAGUCGAACGGUCACUUCGGUGAUAGUGGCGGACGGGUGAGUAACGCGUGAGAAUCUGUCUUCAGGUCGGGGACAACAGUUAGAAAUGACUGCUAAUACCGGAUGUGCCUUCGGGUGAAAGAUUUAUUGCCUGAAAAAGAGCUCGCGUCAGAUUAGCUAGUAGGUGGUGUAAGAGACUACCUAGGCUCCGAUCUGUAGCUGGUCUGAGAGGACGAUCAGCCACACUGGAACUGAGACACGGUCCAGACUCCUACGGGAGGCAGCAGUGGGGAAUUUUCCGCAAUGGGCGAAAGCCUGACGGAGCAAUACCGCGUGAGGGACGAAGGCUUUUGGGUCGUAAACCUCUUUUCUCAAGGAAGAUGAUGACGGUACUUGAGGAAUAAGCAUCGGCUAACUCUGU